rnacentral:tRNA from 1 species
GCCGGAGUGGCGGAACGGGCAGACGCAUGGGACUUAAAAUCCCAAGUCCUUCGGGACGUGAGGGUUCGAGUCCCUCCUCCGGCACCA